GCGUCCGUGGAACGAGCGGCGGAUGGGUGAGUAUCACGUGGGCAACCUGCCUGGUAAGAUUGGGAUAACUCGCGGAAACGUGAGCCGUAAUACCGGAAUGAAGUCUUUCACCGCCUGGUGAAAGGAUGAAAGAUGGCUCUUGAGCUAUCACUUACAGAUGGGCCCGCGGCGCAUUAGCUAGUUGGUGGGGUAAAGGCCUACAAGGCGACGAUGCGUAGCCGACCUGAGAGGGUGAUCGGCCACACUGGGACUGAGACACGGCCCAGACUCCUACGGGAGGCAGCAGUAGGGAAUCUUCCGCAAUGGACGAAAGUCUGACGGAGCAACGCCGCGUGAGUGAAUGAAGGUCUUCGGAUCGUAAAACUCUGUUGUCAGGGAAGAACAAGUUGUGUUCUAACAGGACAUGACCUUGACGGUACCUGACCAGAAAGCCCCGGCUAACUACGUGCCAGCAGCUGC
rnacentral:rRNA from 1 species